GGUGCAUCCCUCCAAGAGUGUUUAAGAGUCUUCAUCCAAAUAACCUGAACUAGAUAAAACAGCUGCUUACUCCAUUCCACAGAACGGCUUUCAAGCCGGAUUCAACAGCUGUUGUGCAGCAUAGCUGGGAAAGGGGGAAGUGACCACCACACAUCCAGAGAUCCAGUCAGGUUCAUUAACAGGUGACAGAACAUUACUCAAACCAAAGUAAGGCGUUGAUUACCUGAUGAAGCUGUAUUCUGGGCUAAGUAGACGGAUCCUUCAUUUUCUCUCUGCUGAAGGCCAGGAUUCAGUGCCUGGUCAUCCUGGCGGGAGUAGGUUGCUGGUCUACACAACGCAUUCGCUUGGCACAUGGUUUGUCAUCUCUUCUGAAGAAUAUGGGCUCAGUUUCCCAGCCAGUAGAAACAGUCCUGCCAGAAACCCGGAGGCUACAUCCGUGUGUGUGUGCCAUCUACUACCCUGCAGUCUCCAGAGCCAAAUCCAAAGACUUCAUCAUUCUCGGAUUGUCAUCCACACAUCAUUUCUGUUGAAUAAGAUGGAUCAUCUGACUUUCUUGCAAACAUCAAGAUGUCUGAAUUUCCAAACCUGACUAUCAAAGGUUCUCCUGGAGGCACUGUAGCAACUUCUUGGUCACAUCAUAUGCAGCUGCAUCUUGUAGUUGCCUGAGGUGUGAGCUUGUCCUUGCUUGCAAGCAGAGGUGCAGAGAACGUAAAAGUGUGGUUGGAUAGCACAUCAGUCUUCUGACCUCUGCCAGGCACUGAGAAGCAAUAAAACUCUCUCCCUGCUUAGGAGCUGUGGCAGCUCAUCCCUCAAAUGUGAGUGUGAUUGGCUGAGUUUGCUAAAAAAAAACAUUAAAUUGCAGGGAGCUUUUGUGUCACAUCUCUUCAAUAUCCUGACUCUCACAGAGAAAAAAACAGGAAACAUCACAGCUUUCUAUCAAACAUUUAAAAUUGGUUGCAUACACUGUUCUGUAGUUCAGACAUAGGUUUAAUAUGAUUACUGUUAGCUUCAUUAUGAAGACUU